UAAAAUACAAAUGAUUUUGAAUUUUUCGCUCGUUCAAUAAAUCUGGGCCAUUCAAAGUUUGAGAUAAAUUUCACCGUCUAUACAGUGCCGAAGGCACGGGACCCAGCUAGUAUAUAUAUAUGGGAAGUUUGGAUUGAAGGAAUGAAAUAGAGUAGGGAAUGGAAUAGAUGAGGGAAUGAAAUAAAGAAGGGAAUGGAAUAAUUUUUUAAUAUUCCAUGUACAUGUUUGGUUGAUGUUAUGAAUACAUCUAAGAAUGAAAUAAAUAAUUAGAAAGUGAUCUAAAU
rnacentral:lncRNA from 1 species